UACGAAGGGGGCUAGCGUUGUUCGGAAUUACUGGGCGUAAAGCGCACGUAGGCGGGUUAUUAAGUCAGGGGUGAAAUCCCGGAGCUCAACUCCGGAACUGCCUUUGAUACUGGUAAUCUAGAGAUCGGAAGAGGUUAGUGGAAUUCCCAGUGUAGAGGUGAAAUUCGUAGAUAUUGGGAAGAACACCAGUGGCGAAGGCGGCUAACUGGUCCGAUACUGACGCUGAGGUGCGAAAGCGUGGGGAGCAAACAGG
rnacentral:rRNA from 2 species